CGGACGGGUGAGUAAUGUCUGGGAAACUGCCCGAUGGAGGGGGAUAACUACUGGAAACGGUAGCUAAUACCGCAUAACGUCGCAAGACCAAGAGGGGACCUUCGGGCCUCUUGCCAUCGGAUGUGCCCAGAUGGGAUUAGCUAGUAGGUGGGGUAAUGGCUCACUUAGGCGACGAUCCCUAGCUGGUCUGAGAGGAUGACCAGCCACACUGGAACUGAGACACGGUCCAG
rnacentral:rRNA from 1 species